GUUUGCUUUACUGCAUAAUACCCACCACCACCACCACUACGAAAUACCCUAUACAGUCAUUCAGCUUUACUGAAAGACCUGUGUUUAUGCAAACCCAUUAACAGAAACAAAUCCCUGAUCAUUCCUGACAUUUUGAAAGGACAAAAUUCUUGGGUAAGAAGUCCACAACAUACUGCUGACAUGAAGAAACGGCUGCAAACUCAGAAUUUGCAAGAUGAGUGUACAUGGAUACUGUACGAAUACGAGUUAUGAUGUGUUUGAAAUGCUUUGGACUGCUUUAAAACAAAGGCACUAUGGAGAUUAAGAGCUAUUCUUAAUAAAAAAUUAUUUUCUCCACUUGUAUGGAGCUGAAGCAGAGAGGGGGAAUUACAAGAGCCAGUAAGUCACAACCUUGGAAUGGCAGCUCCUUCCAGCUACGCCUUUCUCACCGUUCAAUGUGGACGCCCCCGUUUUUAUGUCUGGGACUAGGUGGAGCCCAGGGAGCAAAUGAGAAACCUAUGUGAGAAUACAGGGCCUUCACUCUAUAAAGAGCAAGGCUAAACACUCACAGGGAUACAGUUUUCCAGAAAGGAUCCUAUCUGUAAUGAAGUUAUACUACUGUGCAUUUUGAAGGAUUUGAGGAGCCAUGUUUGAUUUCCCUAUGAAAUAGCAAAUAUCCCCUAGAUUCUCAUGUUAUGAAAACAAACAUCAACUGUAAUAAAGGCUGAGCAUUGGAAACGAACACCUGGUGCGUACCUGAAUGAUCUGGGCGGCAAGCUCUGGGGUCCCAUGCUUCAGGUCAUGCCCAUUGAUGGCAAGUACUCGGUCAUUGCUGCUGAGCCUUCCAUCCUGUGCAGCCAGUCCGCCUUCCAAUAAGUCAAGAAUAAAAACACCUGGCUCAUCGGUCCUUCGUACAAGUUUAAUGCCGAGCUGUUCACCAGAGUCCCGCUUGUGAAGGACCACGUGGAAGAUGUCUUCCCGUGGAGAGCUACUGUCAGAGUGGCUGUUUGUCCGGUUCCCAAAGCGCCUCUCUCGCAGCACAGUGAGGUGCAGUGUGCUGCAGGGCUGGGAGAGAACGGCUCUGGCAUAGUUGUGGGAUACAUUGCUGAUGUUACAGUUGUUGA